UCGGCCUCAGUUUCUCUGGUGAGCAAUGCUGGUCCCGCCUUCCCUUGGUGGUUCCUUCUGCCUGUGAACAAAGACCUUGGGCAUUGAAGAGGGCAGGGGGCUGUGCCAGGCAUGGAGUAAAUCACACGGCUGCCUGACGGGGCCGCUAGUGUUACCCCGGGGUUCAGAUUGGUAAAUUGAGGCUCAGACAAUUGUCCCAGGUCACACCACGCCUGGCCUGCAGAAGGUACGGAAGAAAUGUUGGUGAACGGACUGUAGCCCUAGGUCUGACCCCCAGGCUGGCUUCUUGCUGCCAUGUUUUGCUGCUUGGACGGGAAAGCCCUGUGGAAGGGAAGUGAGAGUUCGAGUGCAUGUGUGUGUGGAGGGGGAAGGGCGGGAGGAGGGAUCAUUUCGAAGGCUGCAGGACGAGGCAGGCGGGGUUGCUUGACUGUGGAAGGUGGGUGUGGGCAGAACACGAGGCUGGGCAGCCGGUGGGAAGGGAAGGGACUGCCGUGUGGCCAGGAUGAGGCGCCCACACCGAGGGCAAGAGGCUGGGGUGGGGCAGGGAAGGAGGGAGAGUCACAGGGCUCGAGAGGCAGCCCAGCAGAGCGGAUCAGGGUGUGGAGGUGGGGCCAGGCUGCCUGGGUUCAAAUCCUGCCUGGCCACUUCUUGGCUGCAUCUCUUUGGGGAAAUUCCUUCCAACCAGACCAGGAGCCAGGGGAGCCUUCUCAUCUGUCAGCACCGGGCUCCAUGUUUUGCAUAAAUUAUCUCAUUUAAACCUCACAUCACCUCCGUGAGGUGUGUCUUCCUAUUUUCCUAAGAAGUAAACGAAGCUGAGAGAGGCCCAGGCACUUGCCCAAGGCCACACAGUCAGGAACCCAUGAAGCAGGGCAGUCCUUCUGGAAGCUUUGGUGACAGGAGCCUCUUCCCCCACCUGAAAAAGUCUGAGAGCCAUUCCAAGGGAGUUGGCCACUUCAGCGUCUUUUCCCUGCGCUGCCUGGCACGUGAUGGCCACCGUUCUCUGUAGCUUUUUGUUUCACUGCUGCACUGUGAUCUUUCCAGAGGCAUUUUAAGCACGACCUGGGGGUCCAAAUUAAGACGAAAUGCCACUAGUGUAAUGUUGCCAAUUUAAUAACACUCAGGUAAAUGGACACAUUUUACACACAGGCACGGCCAGGAAUGGUCACAUCACUGUACCGCCCGGCUGGGUGGUCUGAAAGUUUUUGGGCAUCAUUUGGCAGAUACAACCCAAUUUUAGAAAUAUUGAAACUGGGGAAAGGGGGACAUGUGACUGAGAUUCAGCAAAGGAAAAACUGGAGCUUCUGCAAUGCAGAAGGCCUCAAAUGACAGGCGCUGUGCCCCGGGACCAGGGGCCUAGCCUCUCUGAACCUGGGCUCCCCACCUGUGAGCAGGGUGGUGGCCUGCUCUGCAUACCCACAGGGCUGUCAGGGGCCCAGCAGCACGUCUUGGUGAACCAGGAGGACUAGAUACACCUGGGGGACACGAAUAGCCAUUUCCCGGGGCACAGCUGGGAGGGUACCCCAGAAUCUGGGAGGCGUUGGGCACCCCAGGCUGACCCUUGAGACUCUGCUCCCCUCCAUCCCAGCCCUUCCUGACUAAUCCCUCUCACUGACCCACAGAAGACCCCACCAUGUGCCCAGGCCUCAAGCUUUCACUCCUUGGCAGUGUCACCUUGGGCGGCCCAGCCUCACUGGGCCUCAGUCUCUCAGAGUCUGUUGACUCAAACGAGGAAAAUCGAAGCAAUACUGAGACGCAAAGAGGACACAGAAACCCCUAGAUGAGUUGAGGGGUCCCACAGCAGCCUGCACCCCACUUCCCAGAGUGUGAAACUGAGUCCCCCUAAAACCGAGCUCCCUUACCAAGUUUAUGAUUAGUCUCUCUACCCCAAACUUUAUUCCCUUUCCCAUCCCCUCUGACCUCAAUCCGAUGCUCACGGAACACUCAACAGCUGGAGUCAGAUGACUCAGACUGCGGGCGUGGAUGACAAUGGCAUGGGCUCAAACCGCUAUUAGGAUGGAUAGCAUCACUAAUGUGCAAACUCAGGUUGUUUCUCCAGGGCAAGAUGAGCUCACGGACCCCCAAGCCAUGGACCAUCUGGCCAGAGAAUCUUCAUCCAGAGACACCCUGAUGCCCGAAACUACUGUUAAGACAUGUCACAAGACAAUGAUUAAUCCCAGCCAGUUUCUUCCCCUUCAGAAAAAAGCUCCUACCUCAAAGACCAAGUUGGAGUGAUCUGAGGCUUGUCUCCCACUCCCUUGCUUGGCACCCAGCAAUAAAUCUUGACUUUGCUGCAAA